UGGGGAAUUUUGGACAAUGGGCGCAAGCCUGAUCCAGCCAUGCCGCGUGCAGGAAGAAGGCCUUCGGGUUGUAAACUGCUUUUGUCAGGGAAGAAAUCUUCUGGGCUAAUACCCCGGGAGGAUGACGGUACCUGAAGAAUAAGCACCGGCUAACUACGUGCCAGCAGCCGCGGUAAUACGUAGGGUGCAAGCGUUAAUCGGAAUUACUGGGCGUAAAGCGUGCGCAGGCGGUUCCAUAAGACAGAUGUGAAAUCCCCGGGCUCAACCUGGGAACUGCAUUUGUGACUGUGGAGCUAGAGUACGGUAGAGGGGGAUGGAAUUCCGCGUGUAGCAGUGAAAUGCGUAGAUAUGCGGAGGAACACCAAUGGCGAAGGCAAUCCCCUGGACCUGUACUGACGCUCAUGCACGAAAGCGUGGGGAGCAAACA
rnacentral:rRNA from 1 species